UCCGGUUUGUCACCGGCAGUCCCAUUAGAGUGCCCAACUGAAUGUGGCAACUAAUGGCAAGGGUUGCGCUCGUUGCGGGACUUAACCCAACAUCUCACGACACGAGCUAACGACAGCCAUGCAGCACCUGUGUGUAGGCCCCGUAAGGGGAGGAAUCCAUCUCUGGAAACCGUCCUACCAUGUCAAACGCUGGUAAGGUUCUGCGCGUUGCUUCGAAUUAAACCACAUGCUCCACCGCUUGUGCGGGCCCCCGUCAAUUCCUUUGAGUUUCAACCUUGCGGUCGUACUCCCCAGGUGGAUCACUUAACACUUUCGCUUGGACGCGUACUGUAUAUCGCACACAUCGAGUGAUCAUCGUUUACGGCAUGGACUAC
rnacentral:misc_RNA from 1 species